AUGAAGACGCCCGUGAAAGGAUCACGUCCUCCUCGUUCCUUCCACUCCCUCGCCUCCUCCUUCCUCCCCAUCCGGCGGCGCCUCCUCCCUCUUUCCCACGGCCUUCUGCAUCGCGCCGCCACCGGCUGGCUCCUCCUUCUCUCUUCUGGAUCGGGCGCAGCCGCCAUAGGAGAGCAUGGGCUCGAACUGAGUGAGGAAGAGGUGGUUUGCGGCCACGCGGGUGAGGAGGGCGGCCUUCCGCUGAACGCCACCGUCCUCUCCUCGCGCGCCCUCGCGGCCAGAAGAGGCAGAUAUGUACGGAGGAUCCAUGAGCUUGGUGCCAUCCGUCCCGUCCGUCGACGCCCACCCCCUCUUCCCCAACGCGUAGGUGCUCUAUUCACUUGCGUCUUCGCUGCCUCAAGUGUGCGGAUGCAACCACCAGCUGUUCGUAUAAAUGUUCAAGGAGGACUGCUCUGGGGAGGACAUCACGUGUGUUUGAAAGAGAGGGAUGGAAAAGAGGGGGCUGGAGUGAGAGGAGAAGAGGAAGGAAUUGAACCACAUGUUAUUUCUUUGUCAUCGACGUCAUCCCACCAUUGUAGAGAUUUUCUUGGAUGA
rnacentral:rRNA from 1 species